rnacentral:rRNA from 1 species
GGACGAACGCUGGCGGCGUGCCUAACACAUGCAAGUCGAGCGGAGACAGAUGGGAAGCUUGCUUCUGUCUGUUCAGCGGCGGACGGGUGAGUAACGCGUGAGCAACCUGCCUUUAACAGGGGAAUAACGCAUCGAAAGAUGUGCUAAUACCGCAUAAGACCACAGCAUCACAUGGUGCAGGGGUCAAAGGAGCAAUCCGGUUAAAGAUGGGCUCGCGUCCGAUUAGCUGGUUGGUGAGACAACAGCCCACCAAGGCGACGAUCGGUAGCCGACCUGAGAGGGUGAUCGGCCACAUUGGAACUGAGAUACGGUCCAGACUCCUACGGGAGGCAGCAGUGGGGAAUAUUGGGCAAUGGGCGAAAAAGCCUGACCCAGCAACGCCGCGUGAGGGAAGAAGGGUUUCGGCUCGUAAACCUCUGUCCUAUGGGACGAAGGAAGUGACGGUACCAUAGGAGGAAGCCCCGGCUAACUACGUGCCAGCCGCCGC